GGACGGGUGAGGAAUACAUCGGAAUCUACUUUUUCGUGGGGGAUAACGUAGGGAAACUUACGCUAAUACCGCAUACGACCUACGGGUGAAAGCAGGGGAUCUUCGGACCUUGCGCGAUUGAAUGAGCCGAUGUCGGAUUAGCUAGUUGGCGGGGUAAAGGCCCACCAAGGCGACGAUCCGUAGCUGGUCUGAGAGGAUGAUCAGCCACACUGGAACUGAGACACGGUCCAGACUCCUACGGGAGGCAGCAGUGGGGAAUAUUGGGCAAUGGGCGCAAGCCUGAUCCAGCCAUACCGCGUGGGUGAAGAAGGCCUUCGGGUUGUAAAGCCCUUUUGUUGGGAAAGAAAUCCAGCCGGUUAAUACCUGGUUGGGAUGACGGUACCCAAAGAAUAAGCACCGGCUAACUUCGUGCCAGCAGCCGCGGUAAUACGAAGGGUGCAAGCGUUACUCGGAAUUACUGGGCGUAAAGCGUGCGUAGGUGGUUGUUUAAGUCUGUUGUGAAAGCCCUGGGCUCAACCUGGGAACUGCAGUGGAAACUGGAUAACUAGAGUGUGGUAGAGGGUAGCGGAAUUCCCGGU
rnacentral:rRNA from 1 species